AGUCUUGUUUUGUAUUCAAAAGAUAUUCCAAUAACUGGAUGUAACCGGACCUUUCAAUUCCUGUCCUAUUUUCUUGAAAGAUUUUAGGUGUUUUUGGCUGUUAGAGAGGCUACUGUUAGACUGACUUACCUCUGAUUCUCCAUCCUACUUGGAAGAAGAUGGCAAUUCGGGUGAGUGAUCAAGCUCUGAUGUUGUCCUUCAAGGGAGGGUAUCGCAGUCCCAACAACCAUCAAACCAUUCACAGAGCAGAAAGAGAGGAACAGGGAGUACAAGAUGUAAAAUAGGGCAAGAGAAGGACAGCACCAAGAAUUAAAUGAGAUGUUGCUUGUGAAAAUUUCCAGUGAAAAGGACGCUCUAAGAUAGCAAGAAAUACAGAAGACAUACAUGAUUCAUCCCUCCUUGGAAAAAAAAAAAAAAGAAAAUAGGACUUAAAACUGUGUUCAUAGAAUAUAACAAAGAAGUGUGCUUCAGCAAAGAUUAACUUUAUAACUUUUUAUAAUGGAAAAUAUCACACUAACUCAUGUAAUACAAAAAUACUGUAAGAACGUG